UACGUAGGCAGCAAGCGUUGUUCGGAGUUACUGGGCGUAAAGAGUGCGUAGGUGGUUCUCUAAGUUCGGUGUGAAAUCUCCCGGCUCAACUGGGAGGGUGCGCCGAAAACUGGAGAGCUUGAGUAUGGGAGAGGAGAGCGGAAUUCCUGGUGUAGCGGUGAAAUGCGUAGAUAUCAGGAGGAACACCUGUGGUGCAGACGGCUCUCUGGACCAUUACUGACACUGAGGCACGAAAGCGUGGGGAGCAAACAGGAUUAGAUACCCUGGUAGUCCACGCCCUAAACGAUGCAUACUUGGUGUGGGUCAUUCAGUUGAUCCGUGCCGGAGCUAACGCGUUAAGUAUGCCGCCUGGGGAGUACGGUCGCAAGGCUGAA
rnacentral:rRNA from 1 species